rnacentral:tRNA from 1 species
GCCUUCGUGACACAAAUGGUUAAGUGUUUGGCUGCUAACUGAAAGGCUGGUGGUUCAAAUCCACCCAGCAGCU